GGGUUGUGAGGUUAAGCGACUAAGCGUACACGGUGGAUGCCCUGGCAGUCAGAGGCGAUGAAGGACGUGCUAAUCUGCGAUAAGCGCCGGUAAGGUGAUAUGAACCGUUAUAACCGGCGAUUUCCGAAUGGGGAAACCCAGUGUGAUUCGUCACACUAUCAUUAACUGAAUCCAUAGGUUAAUGAGGCGAACCGGGGGAACUGAAACAUCUAAGUACCCCGAGGAAAAGAAAUCAACCGAGAUUCCCCCAGUAGCGGCGAGCGAACGGGGAGGAGCCCAGAGCCUGAAUCAGCAUGUGUGUUAGUGGAAGCGUCUGGAAAGGCGCGCGAUACAGGGUGACAGCCCCGUACACAAAAGCGCAUGUGCUGUGAGCUCGAUGAGUAGGGCGGGACACGUGGUAUCCUGUCUGAAUAUGGGGGGACCAUCCUCCAAGGCUAAAUACUCCUGACUGACCGAUAGUGAACCAGUACCGUGAGGGAAAGGCGAAAAGAACCCCGGCGAGGGGAGUGAAAAAGAACCUGAAACCGUGUACGUACAAGCAGUGGGAGCCCCACCACUAAGCCAGUGGUGAACUCCACAUCCGCAUCCUUUGCUGAGGAUACGGUUAACGGAGCGAAAGCGACGUUCAACCGCAAAACAAGCAGAGGGGGCUUAGUGGUGGGGUGACUGCGUACCUUUUGUAUAAUGGGUCAGCGACUUAUAUUCUGUAGCAAGGUUAACCGAAUAGGGGAGCCGGAGGGAAACCGAGUCUUAAUUGGGCGUUAAGUUGCAGGGUAUAGACCCGAAACCCGGUGAUCUAGCCAUGGGCAGGUUGAAGGUUGGGUAACACUAACUGGAGGACCGAACCGACUAAUGUUGAAAAAUUAGCGGAUGACCUGUGGCUGGGGGUGAAAGGCCAAUCAAACCGGGAGAUAGCUGGUUCUCCCCGAAAGCUAUUUAGGUAGCGCCUCGUGAAUUCAUCUCCGGGGGUAGAGCACUGUUUCGGCUAGGGGGCCAUCCCGGCUUACCAACCCGAUGCAAACUGCGAAUACCGGAGAAUGUUAUCACGGGAGACACACGGCGGGUGCUAACGUCCGUCGUGAAGAGGGAAACAACCCAGACCGCCAGCUAAGGUCCCAAAGUCAUGGUUAAGUGGGAAACGAUGUGGGAAGGCCCAGACAGCCAGGAUGUUGGCUUAGAAGCAGCCAUCAUUUAAAGAAAGCGUAAUAGCUCACUGGUCGAGUCGGCCUGCGCGGAAGAUGUAACGGGGCUAAACCAUGCACCGAAG
rnacentral:rRNA from 1 species